rnacentral:lncRNA from 1 species
GAUAACCUGGGUCGGCAAAGGUGAUGAUCCUGGUGAUGACAUAUCUUCGCUGAGGUGGAAAUGAUCUCACAAGUACAGACAGGACUCUCCCAGCUAGAAAGAGGAGGAGAGCAGAAAACACAGACUUGGGAACGGCUUGAAAGCGCUGGAGGAGGAGGCAGCUCAUGAGCCCAGCUCUGGCUUCAGCAGGGGAAGCUAAAG